UAAAAAUAGUAUGCUGCCACCACAAUAGUUUAGAGAGUUAUUGAGCUCUUGGCCAAGCAUAAUUUAACACUUGACCGUAAUGAAGAAACUUUUCUUCGAUGAGAACUUUAAAGAGCUAGUGAACCACCAAUCAGAAUAGCUAUCUCAUGAUCCAUAAUAUCUGAGUUCUACUACGAGCUCCGCGAUUGGUCCAUCUUCUUGCAUCGACCGCCAACUUUUAGCCUCUCCAUUCUGCCAGAACCACAGAGGUUGAAGGAGCUCCGAUGAUCUGAAGAAAACCGUCUUUUCUCCCAUCACAAGACUUCUGUCAUACUCCAGCGUCCUGACCUUCACAGCAGAAUUUAACUGGUGUUGGAGAAGGUAACAGCAAAUCUACCGGCAGACUGAUUUCUCUUCCAAGCAUCAUCAUAGCAGGACUCUCUCCAGUUGAUUCCUGGACUGCUGAUCUGUAUGCCAACAUCGCGAACGGAAUCCUCUCAUCCCAGUCCUUCUGUUCGUCAUCUGGAUUGAGCAAUGACGACACCAUACCCAUCUUCUAAAAUCUCCUACAAUGUCGGCAAUCGGUGCAAGGCCGUCUGGAUAACCCAUCAGCAUUCAAGUGGACACGUCCAGCACGAUGCUCUAAGGUGACGACUGCACAGCAUCCCCUACUGCUCUGACGUGACGUGGCCUAAUCCUCUCUCGUGACUUCUCCGUCUGUAGAAAAGACUCUGUCGUCAACGCAGCUGUAAUCGCCUCUUCAAGCGUUCUAGGAUGAGCCCGGAAAAUGGCAGCCCUGAUUUCACCAUCUUCAAUUGCUUCUGAAAAGUGUCCACGAGCAAGCCUCUCUCUAGCAUCGUUGCUCAGCUCCGGGUAGGCUAGGCAAGUCAAAUCUCUAAUUGCCUGACCUAAUUCCUGUAGACUCUCCUUCGGCUGUCGACGCCUAGUCCUCAACUCCAGCAAGAAAUUUUCAGCAUUCUCUCUUGGUCCAAAUCGUCGCUCCAAAUGGGAAGUGAGAUUGGAGUACGUAAGUUCUUGUCCAACUGGAAUAUUAUUCAAGACCUUCAGUGCAGCGCCUUGCAGUCUCGUGGCAAGAUAUUGUCCAGCCUCGACAUCAUCCCAAUUAUUCAAUCUUCUGCAGACGUCAAAGUGUCGGCAAUAGUCCGUCCAUGGUACCUUCCCAGCAAACUUAUCCGGCAAAACGUCCCUAGCUCCAGAUCCUCUCAGUUUCUUCGGGUCGGUCGUUUGGUGACUCCCAACAUAGGAAGCAUUAUUUCGGAAUUGAGUUGGCGUAUAAACCUGGCGCCUCUCCGCAGGAAUAGCAUCUCCAUAAUUUGCCAUGUCUACCGCUAUCUCCGGAUCCUGCUCAUCUAAUACCCAGCUCCUCUGGACUCCAUUAUUUCCAGGAUCUCCUGCUGCCAACUCAGCACUUGGUUCCAUCAUACCGAGUGCUAUAAUGUUUAAUAUAUUUGGAUGUAUGUUUAUUUUCUUGUGUUUAAGUAUAAACAUACAUGUUUUAGAUUGUGUCAAGCAAACGUACCCUUACAUUGUAAAAGGAAUAGAUACAUUGUAAAAGGAGUAGAUUUCCUUAUUAUUCACAGUGAUUAAUUCACUGUCAUGUCCAUAGACAUAUAAAUGCUCAUUUUCCAUAUUCAAUCUUAACUUAUUUAAUGCACACUUGUAAUAAGGAACUCAAAACACAACUUAUUUAUUAUACAUAGCUUAAACAAUACAUUCUUAAAUAUCUACUAGUACCGUACACAACUAUACAUAAUAAUAGCAAAAUUUUUAUAUACUUAAUACAGAUCAUUCUACUACUUAGCAGACAAAAAUGUACCGGUAUUUUUUUUUUUUCUUUUAAAAGUGGAGGGGUUCUUUGAAAAGACCAUCCCACCGCCGUGCCACCAAAAAUGUAACGUGAGACCCUAUCAAAAUAACCUUUUAAAAAUAGUAUGCUGCCACCACAAUAGUUUAGAGAGUUAUUGAGCUCUUGGCCAAGCAUAAUUUAACACUUGACCGUAAUGAAGAAACUUUUCUUCGAUGAGAACUUUAAAGAGCUAGUGAACCACCAAUCAGAAUAGCUAUCUCAUGAUCCAUAAUAUCUGAGUUCUACUACGAGCUCCGCGAUUGGUCCAUCUUCUUGCAUCGACCGCCAACUUUUAGCCUCUCCAUUCUGCCAGAACCACAGAGGUUGAAGGAGCUCCGAUGAUCUGAAGAAAACCGUCUUUUCUCCCAUCACAAGACUUCUGUCAUACUCCAGCGUCCUGACCUUCACAGCAGAAUUUAACUGGUGAGUUUACUCACUAAGUGAUUUAGUAAGAUUUAAUUAUAUAACCAUGAUAUUUCUCAUCUUUCAUCGAUAGAGUUAGCCCUGAACCAAAUCUCUAUUUACUCACAUACAACACGUUUUGUUCGCCUCGUGUUCUACACACACACGAUCAGGCAUAUCCACAUCACACACGUGCAGUCGUAUGGACAUAGGCAAUCAUAGAAGCGGUCAGUCCUUGCUUCGCAAUCAAUCAUUCUAGUCUUUUCCUCAGUUCUCAAAUCUGCUCUUUAUCACUGGGUUUCACUAGGUAAGCGUAGUUUUCCAAGCUCGAUGACGAGUUCCGUUUUCUUGCAAUAUACAAGGUUGGUCUAUAAAUAAACUAAGAACCCUAACUUAAAUAAUGCUUAAACUAAUUGUACGGUACUUCUUAUCCCUAAUCACAUCAUCAAUCAAUCAUCACUAAUCAAUUGAUCACCAUUUCUAAUUCUAAGACUUAACAACAAAUCCAAUUUAUUGGAUUCAUCAUUCUCAACAAACACUGAUCACUAAUCAUGUUCCUUCUGUUCAAGUGUGCAAGUCCAAUUACUGAUUUCCUAAGAAAUAACAAGUAAAGUUCAACUGAACUUUAAUAUAAGAAAACUUGAAGUUAACAAUUCUGAAACAUUUCAACGAUAAAAUUUUGAUAUUUACAUCACUUUGCAUAAGUAUGAAAAUUCAUUGAAUAUAUGGAAUGAGCAAUAUAAAAUUGUAUAACUUACUCUACAUAGUAAAGAACCUAAAUGUAAGUCUGUGCAUGUCACUCUUAAAUUGAUAGAAUGAUAAAUAGAAUAAUAAUUAAUUACUAACUUAAUAAAUCCUAUGUAUUCACUGUUUUGAAUACACUAAGCAAUAAUCUGUAUCAAUUGUAAAUAUCGAGCUGUAGCUAAACUACAUCCUACUUAGUUCUGUACUUUAUACUCCGUAGAGUUGUGUUCUCUCUAAGAAUUAUUUCAACUUAAGACUGUAAUCUACUCUCCACAAAAGUUCCAGGACCAAUGGUUCUUUUCUGUCGUUCUGACUUAUGUGAGUAAUCCUAUCUAAACUGCCAGCAGUUACUCAACACCUUUCUCCAUCCAAUGUCACUAACCCAAUACAACACACCAAUCUCCAAUAAUAUCCUUAUCCUAUCAACCUCUCAACGGGCCUUGUUUACCAGCCUUACAGCGCCUACAAAACUUCCACUCACUUUGUCGGUGUGAAGUUUGUAACAACAUCCAACAUUCUGUGUGAUGAAAAGCCUCAGAAAUCCGUAAAUAUCUCUAAUCAUCACGGGUUCAAGAAUAGACUCACAUAGUACCUUUCUUAGCAUUAAAGCCUACCAGAAACUUUAACCUCGUCCCUGCUGUCUGAGAAUACAGCUAAAUGAAAACAAGUCUGAAAGACCAACACCUAAGCAAUUAUUCCUAUUUCACUGUAACUAAAUUUACCAUCUAUUAAUACAGUGUCAAUAUUCUAAAUGAAGAAUUAAGCUUCAUCUAUAAACUGAGUUUACUUCAGUCUAUGACUAUAAACAUCAAGUAUUCUUAAUAAAACAUGUGAAUGACUGCACAGAGAGUUUAAAUUAUUUACAAGUUGUUUACAAAUGCUUUCUGAUUGAUAAUCAGCUAUUUACAUUUCAUUGAUUAUUUACAUAGAUUACCUUGUAAUCAAUAUUCUAGUUACAUUGUAUUUGUCAGAUUAUCAGAAUUAAUAUUCAGUAUUCUGAUCUGAAUAACAUUAAGUAUUCUGAUAUGUAUAACAUUAAGUAUUCUGAUCUGUAUAACAUGAAGUAUUCUGAUCUUAUAACAUGAAGUAUUCUGAUCUUAACAACUACGGGAAUAGCAUGCUUGACACCUAAGUAACACGUGAUCUUAACAUCCGAACACUCAUGAUGACUAGCUUUGUUUAGUGUGAUCCUAUUUGUAUAUGAUGUAAGAAAUGUAAAUAAAUAAUCAAAGUCAUUAAUCCUGAAAUUAGAAUUGAGUUAACAACUCUAUCAAUAAAUAUCCUUUAAACGACCAAUGUGGAAAAAUCCCAAAGUCAGAUCAAUAUUCAAAGCGAUACCAAAACAACACACAUUCCAGAACAACUUGACAGUUUUAUGUCAAAUGUUACUGACCAAAAGAUAAUCUCUGUUUAAAGAUUGAAAAUCUGACACUAGCCUUUUCCACGUUGGUAGAAUAAUUCUAUCAAUGCAGUAAUUUAAUUUCUCUGACUAGAUAAUUUGAUUAAAUAUUCAGACUGUCAAGAGUCCUAAAAAGGACUGCCUAAAUAUUGUCAUCAAGUCAGAAAUAAAUUCAUAAUAAUAUAAAAUGC